UACGAAGGGGGCUAGCGUUGUUCGGAAUUACUGGGCGUAAAGCGCACGUAGGCGGUUUGUUAAGUCAGGGGUGAAAUCCCGGAGCUUAACUUGGGAACUGCCAUUGAUACUAUUGAUCUUGAAUACCGUGGAGGUCAGCGGAAUAUGUCAUGUAGCGGUGAAAUGCUUAGAUAUGACAUAGAACGCCAAUUGCGAAGGCAGCUGGAUACGCGAAUAUUGACACUGAUGCGCGAAAGCGUGGGGAUCAAACAGG
rnacentral:rRNA from 1 species